rnacentral:rRNA from 1 species
GACGAACGCUGGCGGCGUGCCUAAUACAUGCAAGUAGAACGCUGAAGGAGGAGCUUGCUUCUCUGGAUGAGUUGCGAACGGGUGAGUAACGCGUAGGUAACCUGCCUGGUAGCGGGGGAUAACUAUUGGAAACGAUAGCUAAUACCGCAUAAUAGCAGUUGUUGCAUGACAACUGUUUGAAAGGUGCAAUUGCACCACUACCAGAUGGACCUGCGUUGUAUUAGCUAGUUGGUGGGGUAACGGCUCACCAAGGCGACGAUACAUAGCCGACCUGAGAGGGUGAUCGGCCACACUGGGACGGAGACACGGCCCAGACUCCUACGGGAGGCAGCAGUAGGGAAUCUUCGGCAAUGGACGGAAGUCUGACCGAGCAACGCCGCGUGAGUGAAGAAGGUUUUCGGAUCGUAAAGCUCUGUUGUAAGAGAAGAACGAGUGUGAGAGUGGAAAGUUCACACUGUGACGGUAUCUUACCAGAAAGAGACGGCUAACUACGUG